AACAACUUACUGUACAUAUCUAUAACCCCCAACUCCAAUAUAAUUAAUUUAUAAUUAAACCUACAUACAAAAGACAACAUUACUGAGUCUCUUCAUAACCCAUCUGACAACACACACAUGGUAACACACACACAAACACAGACUAACCAACAUAAUACAUCAGAUUCAACUAACAUCCUAAAUUCUAUCAGCAAUAGAAAGCUCCAAAAUUAAGGAGGGGAUUGACUGUUAUCUUUUUUAAAAAUCUUGCUGGCAGGUGACACUUUGUGGAAGGUGGAGAAAGUGAACGCAGGGAAAUCUGCCAGUCUCUUUCCUUAAUUUGUCUUCCAUUAAAAUGGUCAGAAGAGCAUCAUUUACUGGCCUUGUUACUGAAGCAGAAGGGAUAUCAAAAAUGAAUUUAUAAUAGUGCAUUUUUCUAUCACCACAAACAUUGAAGGAUAGCUCUUAGAUUGUUUAUACAAAACCCUCCAACAAGAGCAUCUUGAUCGUGGAGAUCCUGUUUGCUGGGGCUGUGUUUUGAAGCAGAUCUGGAAAAGAGGAGUUGGAGAAGAAAGACAACUUCCUGAUCUGAGAACUGAUAAAAGGAGGAGAUGAGCAAAAUGAUGAACAAAUAUUUUACUGUACUUGGAGGAGAACAUUUUAGAAGAAUCCUUAAGGGGAAGAUGGACAGAUUGAAUUUGAGGGACAACAAUUGUUGAAGCCUCCCACUAUACUGUGACUGAAUAGAAAGCAUUUUAUGGAUGGAAACAGAGAAAGGGAACAGAAGUUAAAGAAAGGAAAAAUAGACAAACACCAUGAGAGAAAUAUCAAAAGCCUUUCCUCUAUUCACAAGGGAAAGGGUGAGAAAGAAACUAAGGCUCUUCUACCAAGUCAUCUCAUCCUGUAACCUGGAAGGAACUGCUUCAAAACUGA